GAUGAACGCUAGCUACAGGCUUAACACAUGCAAGUCGCGGGGCAGCAUGGGGGUUGCUUGCAAUCCCCGAUGGCGACCGGCGUACGGGUGAGUAACGCGUAUCCAACCUGCCCUUCACCACGGGAUAACCCGGCGAAAGUCGGACUAAUACCGUAUGUUGUCCAUUGACGGCAUCCGAUUUGGACGAAAGGCUUGGCGGUGAGGGAUGGGGAUGCGUCCGAUUAGCCAGACGGCGGGGUAACGGCCCACCGUGGCUACGAUCGGUAGGGGUUCUGAGAGGAAGGUCCCCCACACUGGAACUGAGACACGGUCCAGACUCCUACGGGAGGCAGCAGUGAGGAAUAUUGGUCAAUGGGCGUAAGCCUGAACCAGCCAAGUAGCGUGCAGGAUGACGGCCCUAUGGGUUGUAAACUGCUUUUAUGCGGGGAUAAAGUGGCCCACGUGUGGGCUUUUGCAGGUACCGCAUGAAUAAGGACCGGCUAAUUCCGUG
rnacentral:rRNA from 1 species